rnacentral:lncRNA from 1 species
CUCCCUCUGCAGAGCUCCCAGAAGCCAGCCUGCUAGGAUGCCUCUGUUGCCUGGGUUUCAUGUUUGACUUGGAACAGGCUUCUCAAGACUCCAUGAAGCAGGGAGUUUGUUUAUCAUCAUCAUCAUCAUCAUCAUCACCAUCACUAUCACCAUCAUCAUCAUCAUCAUCAUCAUCACCAUCACCAUCAUCACCAUCACCAUCAACAUCAUCAUCACCAUCACCAUCACCAUCACCAUCAUCAUCAUCAUCAUCACCAACAUCAUGUCUCUAACCCACAAAUUGCACAUCGACAGUAAGACAUGGCCCGCAGUGAGCCUACAAAUGUUACAAGACUCUAAACAUUACAGAAUGGCAUUUUUUUUUUUUUUUUGGCAAGAAAAAAAAAAAAACCCCUGAGCUAAUUGAGGAGAGAAAAUGAAAGCUCAAUUAGCAAGGGAAGAGGAAAAACAGAUCAAUACCGGACAUUUGCUGAUUUUGGAAGAUAUAGAAGAGCUGAGGUUGUGUAGAUAAAGUACUGGUGGACUAGGGAUCUAUAAGUAAGAUAACAAAGAAAAGUUUUGGAAAAAAGACAUCUUAACAAUUUUAGAUUACGUUUGUCUUGUAUAUGCACACACACACAUGUGACACAGUGUGCAGGUGGAGGUCAGGGGACAACUUGUAGGAGCUCAUUCUUUCCUUCCACCACAUGGCACACGGGGCCCAGGUAUUGAAUUUAGGUCACCAGGCUUGGGGCUGUCUUUAUCCACUGAGCCAUUUUGCUGGCCUGAAAGAGGACUUUAACAGUCUACCUCCAUUCACUUUACUGUUUUCA